CAGCACCUCAAGUGGUCAGGAUGAUUAUUGGGCCUAAAGCAUCCGUAGCCUGCUUUGUUAGUUUUCGGUUAAAUCCAUACGCUCAACGUAUGGGCUGCCGGGAAUACUGCAGCGCUAGGGAGUGGGAGAGGUAGACGGUACUCGGUAGGAAGGGGUAAAAUCCUUUGAUCUAUUGAUGACCACCUGUGGCGAAGGCGGUCUACCAGAACACGUCCGACGGUGAGGGAUGAAAGCUGGGGGAGCAAACCGGAUUAGAGACCCGAGUAGUCC
rnacentral:rRNA from 1 species